rnacentral:rRNA from 1 species
CCUACGGGUGGCAGCAGUGAGGAAUAUUGGUCAAUGGGCGUAAGCCUGAACCAGCCAAGUCGCGUGAGGGAUGAAGGUUCUAUGGAUCGUAAACCUCUUUUAUAAGGGAAUAAAGUGUGGGACGUGUCCUCUUUUGUAUGUACCUUAUGAAUAAGGAUCGGCUAACUCCGUGCCAGCAGCCGCGGUAAUACGGAGGGUCCGAGCGUUAUCCGGUUUUAUUGGGUUUAAAGGGUGGGUAGGCGGCCUUUUAAGUCAGCGGGGAAAGUCGGUGGCUCAACCAUAGAAUUGCCGUUGAAACUGGGGGUCUUGAGUAUGUUUGAGGCAUGCGGAAUGCGUGGUGUAGCGGUGAAAUGCUUAGAUAUCACGCAGAACCCCGAUUGCGAAGGCAGCCUGCCAAGCCAUGACUGACGCUGAUGCACGAAAGCGUGGGGAUCAAACAGGAUUAGAUACCCGGGUAAUC